rnacentral:rRNA from 1 species
UCUUCGGAGAGUUUGAUCCUGGCUCAGGACGAACGCUGGCGGCGUGCCUAAUACAUGCAAGUCGAGCGAAUCGACGGGAGCUUGCUCCCUGAGAUUAGCGGCGGACGGGUGAGUAACACGUGGGCAACCUGCCUAUAAGACUGGGAUAACUUCGGGAAACCGGAGCUAAUACCGGAUACGUUCUUUUCUCGCAUGAGAGUAGAUGGAAAGACGGUUUACGCUGUCACUUAUAGAUGGGCCCGCGGCGCAUUAGCUAGUUGGUGAGGUAAUGGCUCACCAAGGCGACGAUGCGUAGCCGACCUGAGAGGGUGAUCGGCCACACUGGGA